UACGGAGGGUGCAAACGUUGCUCGGAAUCAUUGGGCGUAAAGCGCGUGUAGGCGGUUCCGUAAGUCCGCUCUGAAAGCCCAGGGCUCAACCCUGGGAGGCGGGUGGAUACUACGGAACUGGAGUACGGAAGAGGAGAUUGGAAUUCCUGGUGUAGCGGUGAAAUGCGCAGAUAUCAGGAGGAACACCAACAGCGAAGGCAGAUCUCUGGGACGUUACUGACGCUGAGACGCGAAAGCGUGGGGAGCAAACAGG
rnacentral:rRNA from 1 species